UGACUUGGGAAUAAAAAGGUCAUCUUUUUUUUGUUUAAUAUCACUUCUUUUCUCCUUACUGUAUCACACCAUGCUUUAUAAGCUAAUGGAAAGCAUACAAGAACGACACUGACGUUACAUUUGUACAACGUUGUCAUUCAGAGGGAUCCCCAAGCUUCACAAGUGACAACUCAAACCCUGAAGUAUGCCCUGCUGAUAUCACGAACUCUGAAGUCUUCCAGCAGAAGAAGCGGAGUUUGACGGCUUCAGGAUGCUGUACGCUUUCCCUAUCCCCAAACAAGGCUUAGUAUAAUUGGAGUUUAUACGGAAAAUUUAAGCCAGAGAGACCAGACUAUACCUUGUGUCCCAAAACAAGAGAAAUCCUAUCACAGGACCCAGUACGAUGUGAAAAGGAGUUGGUAUUGACAACACUCAACAGAAUGGGAACAGCUGGCUGAGUGAAGUCACGAGCAUGUUCAGUCACACGUGUUCAAAAUCUUGUUUUGCAUGAGAGAGACACAGGAUGAAGUGAACAUUUUGCCAAUUUGCUGCCCUUUCUUCUUCAGAUAAGGUGAAGUUAAGCUCAGUAUCUCCCGUUCAUUAUGAAGAGGGAGGAAAUGUAUUUGGCCAGCCAUAACAAUGACCUAAAAGGAAAUAUUUGGCCCUGAAUAAUUUA
rnacentral:lncRNA from 1 species